AAUGGUGGCACUUGUUAAGCACAAUCACUUCGUGUCACUCACUGGAUCUUUAGCGACGGAAAACAGAAGAUUUCCUUCUCCGCUGUACUUGACCCGACAGAUGACUGGAAGCCCAAACGGAUAACACUUGUGUCUUAUUCGCCGGAUGUGCAACCGGAAAUAAGGCUCGUACAACGUAUUCCUAUUUCCGGUUUACAAACGUUCCAAUAUCAAUAUCUACAGUUUGUUUAGAACUUUUUCUUUGAUAGAAAGAGCGUGCUUUGACGACUGUUUCUGCUCAUUGGUGAAAAUCUACAAAAAUAAAGAAUUUAAAUACAAAAUUAUUUUAUAUAGUUUUUUUUAGUUCAUAGUUAUUUCAGAUAUAUACAGUAUAUCUACUCGCAGGGCCGAAGAGGGCCCCUUUUUCAACCCAGGAGUUUCAGACCCAAACCCGGCCCAUUUUGCUAUGGAGGAGGAAUUUUAAUCCACACAUUAUUAUUUUAUUUAUUUUUUUGCCCUCGAGCCCAUCACAUCAAAAUCAUGCUGCAUUAGAAGUCACAUUAAUGGUAAGUAUUUUAUGUAUGGAAAGUAUAACAACGUUAAUAUUUUUAAAAAAACCUUUAAUACCUUUUUUAAUACCUCAGAAACCUGUUAUACUCUAAAAUUAUUGGUCUGGUUUAAAAAUUCACAGUCUCCUCUGCUCUGAACAGUUGAUCCUAAGUACCUGAACUCCUGCACCUUCACCACCUCUGCUCCUUGUAGCCUCACUAUUUCACUGUUCUGCCGUUCGUUUACACACGUACUCUGUCAGCCGGUUCUAAACAGUAGCCUGUUUGAGCCGCAUGUGUUGCUUCAGUCAGCGUGGUAUGGUAUUGUACGAGAUAGCGCUUUGUUAUUUGUCCACUAAAUAUGUGCACGAAGACCUUUGGUUUGAGUGGUCCAAACAUUUUGGGUGUUGCGACUUUAGCCACGUGUGUUAGUGAAGAAGCGGCUCGUUCUGUGGGGAACGUUUCCUUCAAGGCGGUUCUUGCACUUUGUAGGGCAUUGUAACGAUGAAACAUCCAUGAAGAAGACGGCACAUUAUUAUCGAUGGUGUAGCAGCAGACCCAUAUCGCCAUCACCUGGGCCGGUGGACUCCACCACGCCAUCUGGUUUCUGUUACGUGAACGACAUCUUCCUGGCCGUUUUUGAGCUGCUCAAGUAGGAAAAGAAACAUUUCAAGUUUUGUCACCGGAAAUGAAACUUUUGGACAGCAAUUACGGAGUGUUGUGAAAUGUUUACAGGACAUAGGGGCUGGGAAGGGCAAAUACUACGCAGUAAACUACCCAGUCCGAUAUGGUAUCAUCUGAGAGCAUAUAUGUGGAAUGUUUUAUUUAUUUCAUCUUGUGUUUCAGGCCAAAAGAAAAGGUUUAAUGAAGUUGUUCCACUCCUGAUGAUGGGACCUUUGUUGAAUCAAUAUGAGCCAGUGACCUGCGGUGAGCUUCAUUGCUGGUGAGGCACUGACUCCUCUGGAGUUAGAUUUACAAUUGUAAGAACCAAAAAGAGCAUCAACAGCAAUCACCUGGUAAUACUUCAUAUCCCAUCAGCAUUCCUCUUUCAAUGACAUUUACACAAACAUAUUCACAGGAACAUAUUUGUCCUACAAAGAACGUUUAUUUAUACAAAUGGACAGAGCACACUAUGUGUCUAAGGAAUUUAAAUUUUCUGUAAACAAAUUAAAGUAUGGAGGUGAGUGCAGCACAAAUUUAUUUGUAUUUUGGCCUUCAG